rnacentral:rRNA from 1 species
ACCCGACUCCAUGAAGCUGGAUUCGCUAGUAAUCGCGCAUCAGCCACGGCGCGGUGAAUACGUUCCCGGGCCUUGUACACACCGCCCGUCAAGCCAUGGAAGCCGGGAGUGCCUGAAGUGCGUGACCGCAAGGAGCGUCCUAAGGCAAUACCGGUGACUGGGGCUAAGUCGUAACAAGGUAGC